GAUGAACGCUGGCGGCGUGCCUAAUACAUGCAAGUCGAACGAGGUGCUUGAGUAGCAAUACAAGAGUAUCCUAGUGGCGAACGGGUGAGUAACGCGUGGAUGACCUGCCCCAAAGUGUGGGAUAACAGUCCGAAAGGAUUGCUAAUACCUCAUGUGGUUAUCGGGUUUAGAAACUGAUAACUAAAGCAGCAAUGCGCUUUGGGAGGGAUCUGCGUCCCAUCAGCUAGUUGGUGAGGUAACGGCUCACCAAGGCGACGACGGGUAGGGGACCUGAGAGGGU
rnacentral:rRNA from 1 species